GUGCUCUCUUCAGCAGCACGUAUACUAAAAUUGGAACGCUGCAGAGGGGACUAGCAUGUCCCCUACACAAGGAUGACACGCAAAUUUGUGAAAAUUCCAUACUUCGU